GCCAACGUGGUGUAGUGGUCUGCAUGUUCGACGCGUAACCAAGAGGUCCGUGGUUCGAUUCCCGGCGAAGGCG
rfam:Stegodyphus mimosarum contig88442, whole genome shotgun sequence.